GAACAUGAAAGGUGUGUUGCGGGUGCAUUCCCGCGUGAAUGUGAUGAGGCUUCUGGGCCCUUGCCACACAUCCUUGAGACGGGUGAUGGUCCCAUUUAUUGUGGUUCUACUCAUCACCACAAUUAAUAAAAUGCCAAUGGUUUGGGUAUUUGAUCUGAGUUGGUCGCUAGACCUUUUCGCACUAACCUUCGUGUGGGAUAAGUUAUGGGUACUCGAUGUUGUGGUAUCAGCCGAAGCUCUUC
rnacentral:lncRNA from 1 species